UAUAGCUCAGCUGGGAGAGCGCCUGCUUUGCACGCAGGAGGUCUGCGGUUCGAUCCCGCAUA
rnacentral:tRNA from 6 species